CCUACGGGGGGCUGCAGUGGGGAAUAUUGGACAAUGGGGGGAACCCUGAUCCAGCCAUGCCGCGGGUGUGAAGAAGGCCCUCGGGUUGUAAAGCACUUUCAGUGAGGAAGAACGCCUGGUGGUUAAUACCCAUCAGGAAAGACAUCACUCACAGAAGAAGCACCGGCUAACUCCGUGCCAGCAGCCGCGGUAAUACGGAGGGUGCGAGCGUUAAUCGGAAUUACUGGGCGUAAAGCGCGCGUAGGUGGCUUGAUAAGCCGGUUGUGAAAGCCCCGGGCUCAACCUGGGAACGGCAUCCGGAACUGUCAAGCUAGAGUGCAGGAGAGGAAGGUAGAAUUCCCGGUGUAGCGGUGAAAUGCGUAGAGAUCGGGAGGAAUACCAGUGGCGAAGGCGGCCUUCUGGACUGACACUGACACUGAGGUGCGAAAGCGUGGGUAGCAAACAGGAUUAGAUACCCCUGUAGUC
rnacentral:rRNA from 1 species